rnacentral:rRNA from 1 species
UACAGAGGGGGCAAGCGUUGUUCGGAAUUACUGGGCGUAAAGGGCGCGUAGGCGGCCUGUUAAGUCGAACGUGAAAUCCCCGGGCUCAACCCGGGAACUGCGUCCGAUACUGGCAGGCUUGAAUCCGGGAGAGGGAUGUGGAAUUCCAGGUGUAGCGGUGAAAUGCGUAGAUAUCGGGAGGAAUACCUAUGGCGAAAGCAGGCUACUGGACCGUCACUGACUCUGAUCUGCGAAAGCUAGGGGAGCAAACAGG